rnacentral:rRNA from 1 species
UUAGAUGUUCUGGGCCGCACGCGCGCUACACUGACAAAGACAGCAAGUUGCCCUGCGCCGGAAGGCGUGGGAAAUCUUUGAACCUUUGUCGUGAUGGGGACAGAUCUUUGCAAUUAUGGAUCUCCAACGAGGAAUGCCUAGUAAGCGCAAGUCAUCAGCUUGCGUUGAUUACGUCCCUGCCUUUUGUACACACCGCCCGUCGCUAGAACCGAUUGAAUGGUUUAGUGAGGUCUCCGGACUGUGCCUUUUGGAGUGUUUACAUUCCUUCGGGCGCGGAAAGUUGAACAAACUUGGUCAUUUAGAGGAUCUAAAAGUCGUAACAAGGUUUCCG